GACGAACGCUGGCGGCGUGCUUAACACAUGCAAGUCGAGCGGUAAGGUCCUUUCGGGGGUACGACGAGCGGCGAACGGGUGAGUAACACGUGGGUGACCUGCCCUCAGCUCUGGGAUAAGACCCGGGAAACCGUGGGUCUAAUACCGGAUAUGACUCCAUGACGCAUGUUGUGGGGUGGAAAGCCUUAGUGCGGCUGAGGAUGGGCCCGCGGCCUAUCAGCUUGUUGGUGGGGUGAUGGCCUACCAAGGCGACGACGGUAGCCGGCCUGAGAGGGCGACCGGCCACACUGGGACUGAGACACGGCCCAGACUCCUACGGGAGGCAGCAGUGGGGAAUCUUGCGCAAUGGGCGAAAGCCUGACGCAGCGACGCCGCGUGAGGGAUGACGGCCUGGUGUAACU
rnacentral:rRNA from 1 species